rnacentral:rRNA from 1 species
UACAGAGGGGGCAAGCGUUGUUCGGAAUCACUGGGCGUAAAGCGCACGUAGGCGGAUUUUUAAGUCAGGGGUGAAUCCCGAGGCUCAACCUCGGAACUGCCUUUGAUACUGGAGAUCUUGAGUCCGGAAGAGGUAAGUGGAACUGCGAGUGUAGAGGUGAAAUUCGUAGAUAAUUCGCAAGAACACCAGUGGCGAAGGCGGCUUACUGGUCCGGAACUGACGCUGAGGUGCGAAAGCGUGGGGAGCAAACAGG